UACGGAGGGUGCGAGCGUUGUCCGGAAUCACUGGGCGUAAAGGGCGCGUAGGUGGCGCGGGCAGUCAACGGUGAAAGUUCGGGGCUCAACCCUGAAUCGGCCGUCGAUACUCCCGGGCUUGAGCACUGUAGAGGCAGAUGGAAUUCCGGGUGUAGCGGUGGAAUGCGUAGAGAUCCGGAAGAACACCGGUGGCGAAGGCGGUCAUCUGGGCUACAACUGACGCUGAUGCACGAAAGCGUGGGGAGCGAACAGG
rnacentral:rRNA from 1 species